rnacentral:lncRNA from 1 species
AUGUGCGGCUCUGGUUCCAAUCCACGACGCGAGGGGCGCGGUAGCGAAGUGAGGCUUGUUCUCCUAUGGAAAAAUUCUACACGCGGCCAGAAUGGCUCUGUCAAUAGCUCAGAGGGUGCAAUGCGGCCGCGCAGCCCCACCCUUAAAAGUGGUGGGCGCAAAUGGAGGAGCCCUACGUUCCGGUGGGGCCGCCCGACCCCCUCCUGGCUUGCUUUACGUUCCCUUCAGUCCUUUGAACAUGAGAUGGGAAAGCGAUGCCCUCGGUAUCCAGUCUCUCUGUUGGUUUCCCAGCCUAACACCAGCGCACGCCGGAAAGCGGCCACGGCCGCGGGCGGGACAGACUCACAGACAGGUAGAGAGGAAGGAGUUCUGGGCUCUCCCGACUCACCGGCAGCCGCCGAGGAUCUCAACCGCUGCCCGAGCCCCCCACGGGCACAAGCAGAACCAGCCUGCCGGUGCUUGCAGAACCAGCCGGGUGUGCCGGCGCGGCGCGGCGCCUGCUCACCGCAUUCUCCGCUCCGAGACGGCGUGAAGGCUCUCCAGGCCCGCGGCCGGGUCUCCGGGUUGGCCCCGCGCCGCGGCCCCUCGGCCGCGAGAGAAGCCUGUUGACUAGAUGUGGAAACUAUUGUUGUCAAAAGCCUCCAUCUGAACACUCCAGAGACAUCUAGAUGCCCCUGACUGUAAUCAGGUCACUUGUCUGAGCCUCAGGACAUGCACCCAUGCAAGAGUCAAUGCUUGGACAUCCUGUGCUUUGCACCUCAGUCUGGAAAUGCUGUUUGACUAACACAAGUGAACACUGAAUGCCAAGCUGCUUCUUCCAAGGUAGUCAUCUCCUCUGUUACUCUCUAUUAAAAUCUUUGUGCCUAAGAGUGGUCUAGGUCUUCCUUUUUGGUUUGUAAAGUCUUAUCUUUAAAUUGUUUCUAAUUACGGGUUUGCCUAGAAAACAAAGGCAGGAAUUUUGCACGUUCAUUCCAUUAUAUUGUAGCCCUUAGAACCUGCUGCAGAGAUCUGUUUGCUAGUGAAUAUGACCUAACACUCUUAUUGUCAUUCAACUUACAUUUAUUGAGCACCAGAGUGUAAGGCACUGUAAC